GUCUCUCCACAGAUUAUCUGUCUCCUGAUCAGUGGUCAGCUCUGGUCUUCAUCUUACUGUCAUCAGAAGAAGAUCUGGAGGUGUUUGACCUGGAGAAAUUCUCUCCUUCAGAGUGGGUUCUUCUGAGGCUGCUGCCAGUGGUCAAAGCCUCCAGCAAAGCUCUACUGAGCAGCUGUUCCCUCUCAGAUGAAGGAUGUUCAGCUCUGUCCUCAGCUCUCAGCUCUCCGUCCUCCAGACUGAAGGACCUGGACCUGAGCAUCAAGGACUCAGGACUGAAGAAGCUUUGUGAUCAACUGCAGAGUCCAGGCUGCAGACUGGAAACUCUCAGGCUGACUGUCUCCAACCUCUCAGAGAGAAGCUGUGAACUUCUGUCCUCGGCUCUCAGCUCCCGGUCCUUCUGUCUGGAAGAGCUGCAGCUGAGAAGCUGCAGCCUGGAGAGAACAGGAGUGAAGCUGCUGUGUGCUCUACAGAGUCCAUCAUGUGACCUGCAAACUCUCAGGCUGAGUGCGUGUGGUCUCUCAGAGACAAGCUGUGGA